rnacentral:tRNA from 4 species
GCGCCCGUAGCUUAACUGGAUAGAGCAUCAGGUUGCGGACCUGACGGUUGAAGGUUCGAAUCCUUUCGGGCGUG